rnacentral:rRNA from 1 species
UACGGAGGAUGCGAGCGUUAUCCGGAAUCAUUGGGUUUAAAGGGUCUGUAGGCGGGCUAGUAAGUCAGAGGUGAAAGCGCUUAGCUCAACUAAGCAACUGCCUUUGAAACUGUUGGUCUUGAAUGGUUGUGAAGUAGUUGGAAUGUGUAGUGUAGCGGUGAAAUGCUUAGAUAUUACACAGAACACCGAUAGCGAAGGCAUAUUACUAACAAUUAAUUGACGCUGAUGGACGAAAGCGUGGGGAGCGAACAGG